rnacentral:rRNA from 1 species
CCCAGACUCCUACGGGAGGCAGCAGUGGGGAAUAUUGCACAAUGGGGGGAACCCUGAUGCAGCGACGCCGCGUGGGUGAAGGAGCACCUCGGUGCGUAAAGCCCUAUCGGCAGGGAAGAAACAGACGGUACCUGACUAAGAAGCCCCGGCUAACUACGUGCCAGCAGCCGCGGUAAUACGUAGGGGGCAAGCGUUAUCCGGAUUCACUGGGUGUAAAGGGAGCGUAGACGGCGACGCAAGUCUGGAGUGAAAGCCCGGGGCCCAACCCCGGGACUGCUCUGGAAACUGCGUCGCUGGAGUGCGGGAGGGGCAGGCGGAAUUCCUGGUGUAGCGGUGAAAUGCGUAGAUAUCAGGAGGAACACCGGUGGCGAAGGCGGCCUGCUGGACUGCAACUGACGUUGAGGCCCGAAAGCGUGGGGAGCAAACAGGAUUAGAUACCCGCGUACU